AAACACAGCCUAAAACCCCAAAAAGCAAGCAAUGCAGGUGUAGAAGCACGGCUUUAACAGGGCUUUAACCAAAGCCAGCAGCCCUGCACAUAGAGUUGCACACCAGGAGUGUUGUCUGUUAGUAAUAUGUGUCUGCCAUGUACGUGUCCCAAAGCUGAGGGAGUGAAAAGGAUCAAUGGUGUAGGGGCUAAUUUGACCCUCGAUAGCUGCUUCCAUUGAACCAGCACGCAUGCAGACUAGAGCGAAGUGCGAUCCCGACACGUACCACGAUAUGUUUGGAGUUUGCGCAAUUUAAUAUAAAAGAAUAGACGCUUGCCUAACUACAUAAAAAGUGCAUUUCUUUGUUUGAUUUCGAGGUGUGACACGUAAUAAGUGAAAUCCCUCCCAAAUUAAAUGUUUAACGGCUACUGAGGUUUAUCUUAUUAAACAACAUGGGGAAUGUGUUCAUUUGAAUUUAAUGCUUUUUUAUUAUUUUUAUGUGGAACAUAAUUGCCUCAUUCAUGGCUCAGCUGAGGGUCGUGGCCAACUAGCAACUAGCGCUAACUAAAGGUGACUGGUUGCAUAGGGACCAGGAGUAUAAGGACAUGCAGUCUGUCCAAACAGAGCGCUCUCCCAUGGGGAUUGUACUCGCCCCCCCCCCCCCCCCCCUCCUGGGAUGCCAGCCAAUCAGCAGGUAGGGAAUUUGUGAUCAUUCCAUAUUUUAUCUUUAUUUAUUUCUCUAUUGUCUCCCCCUUAUUCCUUCAACCGUUUUCCCCCUUUCUCCAUCCCUGGCCCUCUCCCUGUAUGUGUUCCGUUCCUGUCGGUGGGAAGUGAGCUAGGUUGGAGGGAGGUAGUGAGUCGUGGUAACAGUGUUCUGAGUGUUCAGUACGCUGUAGAGGACGUGAGAGGAGAGGUUGGUCAUCUCAACUGCAGACUAGUGUUCCAGUCAGAGAGCUGCCUCACUGACCCAACAACCACAGCAGCCUCCACUCAGAAGAAGAGCAGAAGGAAAGCCCUCUGCCCCUCCCCCUGUGCCCUCACAGACAGCAGGUGGCACCCUGGCGGUGGAUAAGGGCUUGGUCUGUUGUGCCCACCACAGGGUCAUGGUGGCUGGCCUUGCCAUAUUAGGGGUGGGCUCCAACCACAACAAAGGUAGGUGUGUCUGCAAGUCAAUCACUUCGUGCCUAUCCACACACACCUGCCAAACACCGGUCUGUGUUUGACACUUUUUCUCAAAUGUACUUUUAUUUGCCUGCAGGAAUUUGUCACCUGACACUUCAGGUCUGAUGAAUCAGCUAAAUGUAUUCUGUCUGUCAUGUCUCCUCGAACCUCUGUCUGUCCCACCUUCCCUCUCUAGACGUCCUAGUGUCAGUGGGGCUGGGUGGAGGAGGGCUGGAGCUGGACCCUGCAGUGCUGAACCUGAAGGUUGCAUGAGGAGAGGAGGAUGAGAAUGAGGGGAAGAGGGGAAGACCUAGUGAACAAGUAUCAUGAUCUCAUACUUUACUGUAUACAAAAUAAAAACAUGUACAUAUGUAGUUUAUUCUAACACUAUCAAUCAAGUAAAGAAUGUUUUAUUCUCAAACUUCUCUCUGGUGUU
rnacentral:lncRNA from 1 species